rnacentral:rRNA from 1 species
UACGAAGGGGGCUAGCGUUGCUCGGAAUCACUGGGCGUAAAGCGCACGUAGGCGGAUCCUUAAGUCGGGGGUGAAAUCCUGGAGCUCAACUCCAGAACUGCCUUCGAUACUGAGGAUCUCGAGUCCGGGAGAGGUGAGUGGAACUGCGAGUGUAGAGGUGAAAUUCGUAGAUAUUCGCAAGAACACCAGUGGCGAAGGCGGCUCACUGGAUCGGUACUGACGCUGAGGUGCGAAAGCGUGGGGAGCAAACAGG